UGAGGAAUAUUGGUCAAUGGACGAGAGUCUGAACCAGCCAAGUAGCGUGCAGGAUGACGGCCCUAUGGGUUGUAAACUGCUUUUGUUUGGGAAUAAUCGACAUUACGUGUAAUGUUUUGCAUGUACCAUUCGAAUAAGGACCGGCUAAUUCCGUGCCAGCAGCCGCGGUAAUACGGAAGGUCCAGGCGUUAUUCUGAUUUAUUGGGUUUAAAGGGAGUGUAGGCGGUUGGUUAAGCGUGUUGUGAAAUGUAGAUGCUCAACAUCUGACUUGCAGCGCGAACUGGCUGACUUGAGUACACACAACGUAGGCGGAAUUCAUGGUGUAGCGGUGAAAUGCUUAGAUAUCAUGAAGAACUCCGAUUGCGAAGGCAGCUUACGGGAGUGUUACUGACGCUUAAGCUCGAAGGUGCGGGUAUCGAACAGG
rnacentral:rRNA from 1 species